rnacentral:rRNA from 1 species
AUGGCAGCCUCGCUCCCGGACGACCUCCUGCUGGAGGUCCUUGUCCGGGUCAAGGAUGCCGCGGCUCUCUUCCGUUGUGCCACGGCGUGCAAAGGGUGGCACCGUCUCAUCGUCAAUCCAUCCUUCCUCCGGCGACGCUGGCCCGACGGCGGGUGGGACUCGUCCUCUUUUGUCGGCUUCUUCAUCCUAGGAGGAGCGAACAGGGCCUUGGGCUCACGGCCUUUUCCCACACCAGAGCCUUGGUUCGUCCCCGCGCCGCGAUCUGCUCUGAGCCUUAGCCGCUGCGGUCUAACCUCCAUGGUGACUGCUUCUCAUGCUGGCCUCUUUGACCGUGCGGUGCCGCUCGCCUCGCGCCAUCACCUCCUCCUCCUGCGAAUUCAAGACAAAAGGCACCUCCUUCUACGAGGACCGGACCAUCCUCCGGUUCACGGUAUGCAACCUGUUCGCUGGCACAUGUGA